UUAGAAUAAAAUCAAAUAUUGGGCGCGAAUUUAAAUUCUAUUUCCCAAAACCGCUCUCUCUUCACCUGCAACAAAUCUCAGAAACCACCGGCGAUGCGAACUCGAUUUCUCAAUACCGACUACUUCACUUCAUCUCUAUCUCCAACCGAAACCCUAAGCUUCCUUAAUCUACCGCUCCCUCAGUUGCCUCCUUGGCAUCUUUCUACCUUCAAAGACGAGCUUCUCCGCUUUGAUUCGUUUCUCAACGUACCUCUCGAGACCGACAGAUUGCCGAUCGAUGCCGCUCUCUCAAAGUUUUUGUCCGACGCAAUUCCUCAAUUCAUCGACGUCGAUUUCGGAGAUUUCCGGGAUACUCGGUCUCUAAUUGGAAAUGUCGGCGCCAGGUUCUCUGAGAAAGAAGCUAUCGUUUGUAAUGAGAGAAAUGAAGCGCAGAGUCAGACAACUUUUGGAUCUGAAAUUGUGGAGAAGGAUAAUGUAACCAGUGCUGAUGAUAAGGAUGUGCAGAGGUUUGAUGUGAUCCUCUUUGAAACACCAGAGCUGGAUACUUACUUGGAUAAUGCUCGCUUUUCUGAGAAAGAGAUCGAGACAUUCUCUGGAAUUCCGGAGAUUGAUAACAAUCAGGAUGAGACAGAACCUAUAGUGCAAUAUUCUAACAAGAUUCAAGAAUCAGUUUAUUCGGUUGACUAUGUUACUUCAAAGUACAACAUGGAGAAAAAUAAUUAUAUGCUUGAAGAGGAUAGUUCUUUUGAGGAUCAGUUGCCUUUACAGCAUUACACCUUUCCUUUCUUGGAGGUGGAUGAAAUAAGUCUGGGCAUCAUAAGUCAUUCUCUGGAUGAUGUACUUCCUUCCGUUUUUGAAUCUAUUGAUACCCAGCUCUGGACUCAAGAAGAUAAUGUGCUCAUUGAUAGCAAGGAGCUCUUGGGCUCUAUUGGGUAUGAUAUCUUCAAGUUUUUUUCUGAUCACUGUUUAUUAAAACAAUUUCCUGAACCAGAGCUGGCAUUCCCAGAGAUGUUCCUGGACAUGAACCUUAUAAGUGUAGUGGAAACUCCUCAAGUUGAUGGGAAUUUUGAAUUUUAUAUGGCUAAACAUGGUGCUGAUUGCUUUUCGCCCAUGAGCCUGGUUGUUUUUGAGGAAUUUCAGAUUUUUGAUGUGGACUUAUCUCAAAACUUUGAGGUGUUUCUGAACAGACAAAUGACCUGUGAACCUGAAGCAUGUGACUAUAUGUUCAGGGAAGACAUGAAUUUAAAGAGUUUCAACAAAUUGGUUGUUAGUCAUGAACUUGUGCUGGUAGAUGAAACAUUCAAAUCUUUGCCUAUACCUGUUCUCUCUGAUCACAAAAGGAUGAGGCCAAUAUGCACGUUGGUUGAGGAAUUACUGUCUGAGUUGAAGUUACUGCCCCUAUCUGCAUCUGAUGGGAUCUACUUGGACUGGUAUAUUUUGGAAGAAGAUAAAUGCAACAGUAAAGUUUAUUCUUUGUUUCAGAAUAUGGUAGAGAAGAUAGACUCAUACAACAUUGAUUUUGAUCAGGAAAGUUUUGAGGAUGGGAAGUUAGUAUCUGAAUUCAUUUUCUCAGAUGAUGCUUUAAGUGAAUUGGCUACUGAACAAUAUGAGGAAGCACUGAAUGUCAGUUCUGAUAGCACUGCUAUGCUUAAUGGUCAUCUUAUGGCAGUUGCGUCAGGUAAUUUAGAAGACAAUGGAUGCCCAAAACCAGGAAACUCAGAACAAUUAGCAGAAAAAGAUGCCAAGAGGGCUUCAUUGCUAUUUAAGUCUAUGUCACAAUUCAAUGAUCUCGAUUUUUUCUUGAAUCCCCAAAAAGGUAGUGCCGGAGAAAGUACUGGACCUACAGCUGUGGCAUUCGAUUCAAAUGCUAUGUUACCCCAUGUUUCAUCUGGUCCUUCAGUUCAAGCAUGUGCAUCCACUGGUGUAAAAUUGCAGCAGUGGGAUAUCAUGGUUUACAAUAUAAAAUUGUCAGAUGAUAUCGUGGCUCUAAUUGAAAAGUUUGAAAACAGCUAUCUGGCUAUCCUGCAGAAUGAGACAGAGUUAAUCUCAUUUUUACCUGCAGAUAAUUUUGAAUUGCUUAGUCUUCCAAAGCAAAAGUUAAUGGAGUGUAUUAAGAAAAAAAUGGCACGAAGAAUGACUUCUCAUAAAGAUGAAGACGUUAUGGCAUUUGUGACAUUGUGUGCAAUUAAGCAAAUGGCUUGGUACAUGUGUUUCUAUGGCAUCCAUGCAGCUUGCUUAUAUGUAGACAAGCUAUGUCAAAGCCUUGGCUGCCUGAAGUCAAGACUAAGUUUCCUCCAUUCCUUGAUUAAGGAUGCGUGCGGCAAGGUUGACAAGGAAAUAACGAGAUCACAUCCCUCACUAUGUGUUAUACAAGGAAUUUUACAGUCAAACAUCAGUCCAAGUAGUUCCAAAGUGUUGAUUUUGGCAGAGCAAGUCUUCUGGUGGUCCUUGAAGAGUUUGUUGAUGUCAAUUGGGCUAUCAUGGAAUGAGUUAUCAAGUUUCUGCACAAGUGCAAAUGCAUUAGAUGUCUGUAAGAUGGAUUCUCAGCUGAUUUCAGAUUGUUGGUUGGUGUCUCAGGAGCAUGUUUCUGCAUCUUUUCCAUUCAACAAGUUCAACCUUAUUGUGGAAUAUGGAGGCUCGUGUGGUUCAUCUAGAGUAUCUUCCUUUUCCACUGAGUUGGUUGGCUUGAAUCAUCUUCACUUUGUGAAGAUUGAACUGGAUGGCUCUAGUGCAUCUAAAGCACUCUGUCAAGGUGUUAAUGUGCCCCAGACUACAAAAAAGUUGAUGGAAGGAGAGUUUCAUUCAAUCCUGGCCCUAGAUGACAAUGUGAAUUACCAGAAGUUGGAGGACCUACUGAACUUUGUACCAAUUGAAGACAAGUGUAAUAAGAAAUCUGUCGAGGGUGUGGAUAAAGUAGAAGCUCACUUUAUGCCUCUGCCAGUUGCUGUGGAAACCAAGCAAACUCAGCAGAGAAAAAUGGACAUAGUAAUUAUUGUGAACACGCAAAAUUUUGACAAGGAAAUGAUUGUAUCCAGAAGAAGUACAUAUCAAAAAAUUCUUGCAAUGGAGAAAGAAGGAGCUCAAGUGGUGGAACGUGAUUUAAAUCUGCCUGUGGAUGUCAUAAUUAGUUCUGCAAUUUGCUUAGUGUGGUACGAUUGCAGAAACAUCGGAGGAAAAGCUGCCACUUUAGAUGCAGCAUCUUCAUGCUUACCAUCGUGGAUUGAGAAUAUUGCAACUAAUAUUUUGACAUUGCUGAGUUUUACUUUCAGUGGCUGUUUCCUGGUUUUUGAGGGAGAAGUUGGCUUCCUUUCUACUGUAAUGGAAUCCUCAGCUGGACUCUAUGCAGCAGCAGCAAGUUUGGGAAUUGACUUCCAGCUCUUUUGUUCUUAUUCAUCUGAGUUAACUGAUGAAAUUAUAUUAAACUGCAUUGACUACGCUGCUAAGAUGACCAGGGGCUUAUAUCCUAAGAUGCCUGAUUCAGAAACUCUUGCAGAAUCAUUCCUCACAAAAUUUCCUUCAAUUAAUCCUUUGACAGCUCAUGCAAUACUCUCUUCAGGAGGAGUGCUCAUUGAGUUCCUUGAGUGGUCACAUGAACGCAGGAUCCAUGCAGUCCAAAACUACUGUGUACCAGAUGAAAGUGUUGCUCUGUUCAGUGCUUUGUGCAAGUAUGGUGAGCGUGAGGACUCAAAAUCUAUAAUGACAGACUGCUCUUCUUCGGUAUCUUCUGGUCCUGAUUCUGACAAGUGUCAUCUUAAUGUUGGUUCUGAGGGAAAACAAGGAAAACACAUGAAUAGCCCUCAUAAAACCAGCAUCAGUAUGGAUGAGUUCCUGCAUGUUGAGCCUUUGAACCAAUGCACAGAUGACUUCUUGAAUCCUUCUGGGCUGUCAAAGCCAUAUAAUUCUCGGAUGUCUAAAGGUUCCAAGGAUUUUCAGGAUUACAAAAAACACAGUUCAUCUUCGAACUAUAUAUUUGAUCAAAAGCAGCAAUUUGUUUUACCUGCAUAUUUGAGCCAUCAAGUUCCUAAGCAAUAUGAUUCUCGAAUCUUUGAAAGUCCUCAGAUAUUAAAUGAAGCAAAAAAGCCCAAACUGAGUGUACCUUUGAAAGAUAAUAUUUGGGGUCACAAUCAGGCAGAAAAUAUGGCUAUGCUGAACAGUUUGGACAGGCAGAACAUCAAUAAGUUUGAAAAUCGGCAUGAGGAUUCUCUAGAUGAAGUUAUUGACCUCAUUGACAGUCCAAUGUCAGGUGAGGAUUUCUCUUCCUUUGAUAAUUCUAUUCCCUUCUCUAUGGUGAGGGAGAUUGAAAAUGACUCUACAAGAAAGUCUAAAAUCGCUAGAAAAUUGUCUUUCAGUAAAGGCAGUGGCACUGCUUUCCCAUAUGUUUCUGAGAUCAGCACUGAAUCAGAUAUAUUCAGUUCUGUAAAAUAUCCUAGAGAUAGUUUCCAAGGAACUAAUGAUAAUCCAGGUACAGGUUAUAAUGAUAAGGUGCCUUCCAGGAACCAAGAAAACCUCAUACAGGAUGUUUUAGCUCAGGGAUCUGCAGCUUGCAAACAUUCACUACUCAAAAAUGAUGUAUCAAAUCAUAGAGCAACACCACUCUCAAAGGCCAUUCUUUCAGCCCAUCCACCGCCAGGUUCACCUUGGACAAUAGAAUUUCUUAACAGAAUCAGGGAGAAGAGCAGAUUACAUCACCAGAAUCUUCCUUCUGAUACAUCUGCUUCACCUUUUGAGAUAUCAAGAAACAUAGCAAAAGUUCCUAAGAGAAGAAGUCCGUCAAUGCUUGAAUUUUUCAAAUACCAAGGACGUAGCAGUCCUCGGAAAAUACUAGAAAAAAGGAAGCAGAAAAGAUACCUACAAUCAUCCAACUCAUCAAAGAAUGAAAAAGCUUCAUCCUCCCUUUUGCAAAUGCGGACACCCAUUGAUAAGAGAGCAAGACAGACUCUAUCUUUUGCAAUGAAUGAAAGUGAAAGUCAAACUAAGCUGGUUUGGAGCGAUGGAGGUGCUCAUGGUUUGAGCAAAAAGCUCCGCAAUCAAUAAUUGGGAUGGGAACGAGGGGGGUGCAACAUAUACGGGUGUAGAACCAUUUGGGGAAUAGCAGAUCAUUCUUUAAACAUGCCAUCAACUUGGUGCGGUUGCCUUGUUUUUUCAAGAAUGAGUCCAGAUGGGCUCAAUCAGUAAGCUCUAACACAACACCAGAGUCCUCAUACUACAAAUAUUUCAGUUGGCGAGAAAUAUUGAACUGACUAGUACAUAGGCAGUUAGGCAUUUAUAAGAAAGCUUAUCAGGCAGCUCCAUGCUUAAAACUAAAAUGAUUUGAUCUUUGAACUGAAACUUUUUAUUGGUGGGCAUGCACUGCUAGUAGCCCUGUAGUUGUGCGUGUAUAUAUCCCUGCCUGCCUGCAAAUGUGGUGCGUAAGUAUCUAUUGAUGUUAAUACUUUAAUUGAUGGCAAGUGUGAUGUGUUUGGGCUGUGUAGUUGGUGUAUUUAUUCUUUGUUCUAAUUAUAUUUUUGUGAUAAUAAUAUUACUAUUUACUCUAAGAAACAAAAAUGCCCAUCUUGGUGAAAUCAGUUCUUAGCUUGAAGAGAAGUGCCAGGGCUGAGGACAAAGAC